GUUGCUGGACCUUACUGCAGUGAGCUGACUUUCACUUUGGACUCUCAGCUCUUACAGUGGCUGAACAGUGGUUCCCCAAAAGACAUAUCCACAUCCUAAUCCCCAUAAUCUGUGAAUGUGACUUCAUUUGGAAAAAAAGAGUCUUUGCAAUUAAGGAUUUUAAGACCACCUUGGAUACUCUGGGUGGGCCCUAAACCCAGUAACAAGUGUCUAUAGGAGACACCCAGAAGAGAUAGAGAGGAGAAAGUUAGGCAAAGAUGGAGGCAGACUGGAGUGAUGCUGCCGCCACCCAAGGAAUGCCUAGAGCCACCAAAAUCUGGAAGAGGCAACGAAAGAAACGCUCCCUAGAGCCUCUGGAGGGAACAUGACCCUGGCACGUUUUCAGACUUGAUUGAUUUUGGACUUCUGACUUCCAGAACUGAGAGAGAAUAAAUUUCUUUGGUUUUAAGCUACCAAGAUUUUGUUAUAGCACCCUUAGGAGACUAAAGCACAAGUUGGAAUCAAGAUUUCUGGGAGAAAAUUAUCAGUAACCUCAGAUAUGCAGAUGACACCAGCCUAAAGGCAGAAAGUGAAGUGGAAUUAGAGAGCCUCCUAAUGAAGGUGAAACAGGAGUGAAAAAGCUGGCUUAAAACUCAACAUUCAAAAAACUAAGAUCAUGGCAUCUAGUUCCAUCACUUCAUGGCAAAUAGAUGGGGAAACAAUAGGAACAGUGACAGACUUUAUUUUCUUGGGUUCCAAAAUCACUGUGGAUGGUGACUGCAGUCAUGAAAUUAAAAGAUGCACGCUCCUUGGAAGGAAAGCAGGACAAACCUAGACAGUGUAUUAACAAGGAGAGACAUUACUUUGCCUACAAAGGCCGUAUAGUCAGAGCUAUGAUUUUUCCUGUAGCCGUGUAUGGAUGUGAGAGCUAGAAGGUUGAGCACUGAAGAUUGAAGGCAGAAGGAGAAGGGGACGACAGAGGAUGAGGUGGUUGGAUGGCAUCACUGACUCAAUGGACAUGAGUUUGAGCAAACUCCAGGAGAUGGUGGACAGGGA
ensembl:lncRNA